rnacentral:rRNA from 1 species
CACGCUGUAAACGAUGAGUGCUAGGUGUAGGGGGUAUCGACUCCUUCUGUGCCGCAGUUAACGCAUUAAGCACUCCGCCUGGGGAGUACGGCCGCAAGGUUAAAACUCAAAGGAAUUGACGGGGGCCCGCACAAGCGGUGGAGUAUGUGGUUUAAUUCGAUGAUACGCGAGAAACCUUACCUGGUCUUGACAUGUAGAGAACCCUUAAGAGAUUAGGGGGUGCCUGCUUGCAGGAGCUCUAACACAGGUGG